AACUCCAAUGGUACCUCAGGAGAGACCAUUUAUGGCCCCAAAUUUGAGAGGCAGGAUAAUUUGAGUGUAUUAUUUUGACUCUGCUGCCUUGUCAGGAGGAGCGGAGCCUCAAGCUUCCUGCAGGAAGAUCAAUACAUGUAUGUGAGUGAAAACGGGGCCCAGAGCCACGAGUUGGGAGGAGAGAUGGCAGCCAGGGUGGCACGCUGACUGGAGGAGCGCCAGCUGCUCUCAACCAGCAGGUCUGCAUAUCGUGAGCCAAAAUGCAGAGAGACAACAACAACAGGAAGGGGGAACAAAAGCAAGAGAGCAAACACUGUGUUCACACUGUGUUUAAAGCUGUGAAAACACUUUCUGGAGGCCAAAUGGAUCAUCAGAUCAUCAGAUUAUGGCAGCAAAUCCCCACAUGUAGAGAGGACAGAAGACUCUAAUGGCUGAAGUACAUCGACAUGUUGCGUGUGUCUCCAUGAUACUGCUGGUUCCUGAUCUGGUUCUAAUCAGGAGUGUUCCAGCUUUGCCCAGCUGACCUACAGAUUUAAUAUGGAUCAGUGAGAGCUCACUGAAAGCGGAGCGUGGAGGAACACGACCACACUGCGGAGGAGGAAUGGUCGACACUUACCCCUGUUAGCACUUAAAGAGAAAAUCAUCUUCUUACAGUUGUUAGGAUUCUGACCUUUGGCUCUGUAAUUUAACAAGUGUUUAACAGAGAAAUGGAAAAGCAAAGGAAAUUCAGUGUCAGGGAACAUUAUUUUGAUAAUCCUGCAUCCCCGUUUGUUAAUUUAUCCCUGAGAACGAGUUUAUUUUGACCAUCAAACAUUCGAGGUAUCAGACAAUGUUUUUAAGGAAUUUCUUGAAAUAUAAAAUUUACAGUCAAUGGUUAGAAAUACAAAUGAAAUUCACUUUUAACACUGUAUCUCUUUAAAGGAUUGAAUUCUAAUAAAAACUCUAAGUCUAAUAACUUAAAGAUAAUGUCUGUGGAGAAUCCCAUUCUUUAUUUGUGAUUAGUAUGGGUGGAAUUGCUAGAUUUAAUAAGAAAAUACCAACAUGCACAAGCUCAC